ensembl:misc_RNA Metazoa_SRP Metazoan signal recognition particle RNA
GCCGGGCAUGGUGGUGUGUGCCUGUAAUCCCAGCUACUUGGGAGGCUGAGGCAGGAGAAUCUCUUGAACCCAGGAAGCAGAGGUUGCAGUGAACCCAGUAGUGCCACUGCACUCCAUCCUGGGUGACAGAGCAAGACUCUGUCUCAA